CAAUAGCGUAUAUUAAAGUUGUUGCAGUUAAAAAGCUCGUAGUUGGACGUGGGGAGCAGCCCGGCGGUCCGCUCGACGGCGGUCACUGCCGCGGUCCUGCUCCUUGCUUGCCGGCGUGUGCGGGGUGCUCUUGGUUGAGUGCCCCGUGCUGCCGGGACGUUUACUUUGAAAAAAUUAGAGUGUUCAAAGCAGGCGUUUCGCCUGAAUACUGGUGCAUGGAAUAAUGGAACAGGACCUCGCUUCUGGUUUCGUUGGUUUUACGAAGUCGAGGUAAUGAUUAAUAGGGACCGACGGGGGCAUUUGUAUUGCGCCGUUAGAGGUGAAAUUCUUGGAUCGGCGCAAGACAAACUAGAGCGAAGGCGUUUGCCAAGCACGUCUUCAUUAAUCAAGAGCGACAGUCAGAGGUU
rnacentral:rRNA from 2 species